rnacentral:lncRNA from 1 species
CUACUAUAUGGGUUGCUGUUUGUUCGGCUUCCAAAUUCUUCUUGCAGGCCGUCGGAAACCGGAGGACCCGGAGCAGGACGAGACGUCUCUAUUCGAACUAGAUGCGGGCACACAAAUUUAUCUGUUUGAGGUGAUGACAAUGAAAAAACAAAAGCCAAAGUUUACAAUCAGGGCAACCGUUUUGGAUCUUUUCCUCCUUCUCACAGUCACAGUCACGGUGGGGGGAUCACCAAGGGGGACUGCUGCUAUGGUGAACUUCAUCAAGGGAAACCUCAACCAUUGGUGGUUGAGGUUGCUGGGAAGCCGUUUGUUCUCUUUGGUGGUCCGGUAGAUUUCCCUAGUCCAGCUUUUGAGGAGUUUAACUCGAAUAAGGGGACUUGGACCACUCUGGCGGACCCUCCGCCGUAUACUGGUGAAUGUCGUGACUUCUCUUAUGCAAUCGUGGGCACCAAGAUCAUGGUCUGCACCCCAAUAUCUUCGGUGUUCUGCUUUGACGCCGAUGCCCCGAAUCCCGGCCAAUGGUCCGUGUGCUGUGCUGAGCCUUUUCCCUUCGAAGGCAGGGCUUUAGUGUUGGACUUGGAGGAGGAUGAUGAUAAUCGUAAUAAGAUAGUGUUUGGCUAUGAACACAUCCCUGCACAUGGCUAUGAUGUAGUAGCCUACACCAUGGUCAACGAUAAUGAAAAUGGUUAUUGUUAUUGUCAUCGCAUCACCCCUCAACAUGUGAAAUAGUUUUUGGAACAGAUGACACGUUUAGUUUUGUCCAUCUAGGAGGUGGAAAAGUCUGUUUUGUUAUUGCCUAUUCCAUGGCAAGCUUGGAAGGUGAUGAUGAUUAUCCUAUUCUUGGAGAGGAAGAAGUGGAUCUUAUUGUCGUGACAUUCGAAUUUUCCAUUUCCAAGAAGGAUGGUAAUUCUACAAGAUUCUUCUCAACCAAAACUUUGGGUUCGUGUAUCUUUCCUUUCGAUUUUGCUUCCGAAUCUGGUAGCGUCUUCGAGGCCGAACUGCUCGGUUGCUUUGUGCGCUAAUAUGCAAUGCAACUUCUUUCCUUUCCUUCAGUUUAAUCUCUCUGGCUGACUCAUUUCUAUUUAUUUAUCUUAAUUUUG